GACGAACCGUGCGAACGUUAUUCGGAAUCACUGGGCUUAAAGGGCGCGUAGGCGGGCGGUCAAGUCAGAGGUGAAAUCCCACGGCUCAACCGUGGAAGUGCCCCUGAUACUGGCUGUCUGGAGGGAGGUAGGGGCGUGCGGAACUUCCGGUGGAGCGGUGAAAUGCGUAGAUAUCGGAAGGAACACCGGUGGCGAAAGCGGCGCGCUGGACCUCUACUGACGCUGAGGCGCGAAAGCCAGGGGAGCAAACGGGG
rnacentral:rRNA from 1 species